GAAAUGGGAGAGCACGAUGCUAAUUACGUGUUUACGUGGAUGAGGCAGGGUUAAAAACCCAGCUUGCUGAGUGAACAAAAGCAACUGGGUUUUUGAUUCAGCGAUGCCUGAUGCCGGGGCUGGUCUUAGUCCAAAUUCAGUCUCCAUGGAAACAAAACUUCUCUUUAAGCACGCCAUAUCUCUGACAGAGCAAGAGGCUUCUUUUUGGCAGACGUUUUUCCUGUUCUCUGUGCUAAUUUGCUGACGAUGAAUACUUCUGGAAUGAGCCGCUUUCUUCUAUCUCAUCAGUCUCCUCUGAAAUGCAACAGGUUUCUACUGUACGACAUGCAGUUUUCUCGCUUGAAACAAAGGUUUCUCGCUGUUUCACAGGGUGAAAAAGACACACGUCUUGCCAGCUGAAGGGGUUUUGCGGAGAGCUGUGACUUCCUCGGUGCCAGCACAGGCAGGUAAGAGGGUACCAGCAAACCAGAGCGUCCCCAUUAGAAAGGGGACUCUGGCUUUCCAUGAGCAGGAGGUGACCAAGCUUGUGGAAGCACGUGGGAGAUCGCUGGCAGGCGCUGGUUUCUGAACGGGCUCCUGAGCAACAGCUUACGUCCCAAAAGUGCUCUGCUCGUCAGCGGCACGAAUUAGUUUGCGCAGGGUGGCACAGGCCGGCAAAAGCUGUAUGUGCAGCCUGCUUGCUGCUGAGCUUGAUACGGAGAAGAAGGAGCUCCGAGUUGAGCGGUGAGCUUUGGAUGCGGCUACAAGCAGAGUGUGGGUGAUCUUGGUGUCCGUGUGCAUCAGUGAAUGCUCUCUAACCUCUCUCUUCUCCAGCAGCAUCCUCUGCCCUUGGAUCUGCUAGUUGAAAUCCAGAGCAAGCCACAGGCAGCUGCCACAUCACACGACUGUCUCUUGCAGUAAAGUGUUUCUUUUUUUUUUUUUUUUUCCUGAAUGUUUUGCUUUCUCAGCGCAACCUUGGAUAGGGUAGAUUUUUAAAAUACUGGAUUCUGGGACUUUCCCAAAAUAGUAAGGUUUCUGCAUUGCAUGCAGUUGUGGCAAUCCCUGCUGUGUGUGUUGAGCAGAUCUGCAGCAGCGAAACACUGAGGCCCGGUGGAAGGUCUGGUGUCUGUAAUGUUGUGCUGGUGCCACUCUUAUAAGCUGCCAUUCACCUCUCUGGGCAUCUCCAGUCCUCCAGGAUGUAAGUCUGAUUUUACUGACAAAGUGGCACCUAGAAGUGUGUGCGCUUACCUCAUUGUUGCUGCGUUAGAUCCCUGAUUCAGGCCUAUGUUAGAUUUCCAAAAGAAACCCUGACCUAGAGUGUGAAGCUGCUGGAGGUAGGAGUGAAAAUCACAUCCAUUUUCAGAGCGAAAGAGUCGCAGCAACCACUUCUUGAGCGGUAAGGAUCUGACGAGGGUUGAAC
rnacentral:lncRNA from 1 species